CAAAAAGUUCACUGUAAGGUCACACAUUCUUGGGCUAGGGUCAUGGAGUAUUAACGGGGGGAGGGAAGUCUGUUUAGGAAGUGGCGUUAUUUCAUUGACUUUGUUUACAAAACGUUUCCUUCUCAGUAGGCUCUCACGUACGACCGGAAUGGUCAAAUUAAUACAUAAUGCUUGCCAGUAUAUUGGCCGUAAAAUUUCAUCAUUGUGUAGCGGCAACAGUGGCAGGCAGAACAAAGAAGAUAAAAAUCCAACCUCACAUGAUAACUGUGCUCUUCAAAGGAAUAGUGAAGUCACACAUAUAGAUGGUGUAGACUGCAAAACACAACUUGGUCACCUAGAUAAGACCACAUGUGGUCACCAAGAUAAAACCACAUGUGGGGAAGAGAGCUAUGGUGUAUGAUAAUAGUUGGCCAUCUUACAAUAUUGUCAUAGUCAGCAUGCUGCAUUGUUUGGCUGACAGUAUUGUAAGGUGGCAAAAACUACUGAAUAAGAUGAUUUUUUGUUUUGAUAUGAACCAACUAGAUGAAAUAGCCAGUCCUAUAAAACUUGAGGAGCAGAAGGUAGAUAUGUAAAAACAGACUGUACAUUUGAUAUUCAAGAACAUAUGAGGCAUCUUUCUAAAGGUGAUCAUUGAUGGUCACAGGGGAGAAGUGGAUUUAAUUCCUUGGACUGCAAUAUGUACAGAAUAUUUCUCCACAUAUUUGCUUUCUUAUUCUUGGUAGUUAACAGUUUAUGAGUAUUUUAUCUAAAGUUACCUUUUUUAUAUUAGGACAUAAGUUAUGGACACUUUUCUUUCCAUAUUUUUUUCACAAGAAUAUAUAAAUAUUUUUGUUUUAUUUAGGAAGUAGUGAAAAAUCUCUAUACAUAUAAUUCACUUGUGAUAUUUAUAAGUCUGGAGAUGUGAUAGAUUGUGGUAAAUUGUGUAAAAUACUUGAAUGUUUACACCAAAUCAAUCACAAAAUAAGUUUAAAGUUUUUGACAGAUUAGCAGCUCAUUGCACCAUUAUUAUUCAACAAUGCAUUGUGAUUAUUUUUUUAAUUUUGGGGGUAAGAAAAGCAAGUAAAGAUUGAAUAAAUUUUCACUUUUAAUUUCACAACAGCAAAUCUACUAUGAUGCUUCAGUAAAAGAGGUUUUCAUAGGGGGAAAAUUUCGGUAUUUAAAGUAUUGAUUCGCAUGACUGAAACUCUCCUUUACUUGGAUUUUGUAAAUAGGUAAUAAUGAGUAAUAAUAAACUGAACUCAUCUGUCAAUACUAUUUACUUUGAUUUGCCCCUACCACAGCAUAACUUCAACAAAAAUAAUUUUCUUAUCUUUCAAUAUUUAUGCAUAUUUAAGCUCUAAAGUCAACACUUUUUCAAACUAUUAUGUACAAUAAUGACCUUUUAUGUGCAAUACAGAAAAUGAUCAUUUGUCUAUAUCUGUGUUCAUUCUUUCCAAGUCUUUCACACACACUGAAAUAUGAGAUCCAUACAAUAGUCACAUACAAUUAUUCUUUAACAGCUUUGGUAAUAAUUAGUAACAGCUAAAAUUUUUAUUUUAUCGAUACACAAAGUGAGGCAAAAACAAAGGAAGAGUAGAAUGUAAAUUUGUAGUAAAUGCAGGUUGAAAAUCAAGCAGUCAUGGCACAAAGGCCCAGCUGAAAAUGCCUCACUAAUAUAUGCCUUGCACAGUCUGAUAAAUGAAGGCAUUCUUUCAUAGUUUUCAUGUUGCUGCCAUUACAACUGUUAUUUCAAGCACACCACACAGCUUGGGUCUGUCUCAAUCAGUUCCUCCAACUGCAAAUGACUCAUACCUGAAACAUAAAUGAGUGCUAUCUUUCAUCUGUUAAUAGUUUCUAGGGUAAAGGAGAAAAGUACUAGAUAAAUGCAAAUUUACAAAUAAGACCAUGCUUUUAAAUGUUAUGACUUUGAAAAUAUAAGGCCUUUUACAGCACUCAGUGUGUGAAAUGAAAAUUGUGCGAGAGUUUAUAUAUGUUCAAUAAAUAUAUGUGCACAUCUGUUGAGAUUCACUCCGGAGAAUCAAUAAAAAUAGUCAUUUGGU